UCCGUAGGUGAACCUGCGGAAGGAUUUUUGUGGCCGGCUUAAGUGCUUCUCUGCAUUUUUUCUUACACAUGUGUUUUUCUUUUUUUGAAAACUUUGCUUUGGUAGGCCUACUAUAUGGGGCCUGCCAGAGAUUAAACUCAACCAAAUUUUAUUUAAUGUCAACCGAUUAUUUAAUAGUCAAAACUUUCAACAACGGAUCUCUUGGUUCUCGCAUCGAUGAAGAACGCAGCGAAAUGCGAUAAGUAAUAUGAAUUGCAGAUAUUCGUGAAUCAUCGAAUCUUUGAACGCACAUUGCGCCCUUUGGUAUUCCAAAGGGCAUGCCUGUUUGAGCGUCAUUUCUCCCUCAAACCCUCGGGUUUGGUGUUGAGCGAUACGCUGGGUUUGCUUGAAAGAAAGGCGGAGUAUAAACUAAUGGAUAGGUUUUUUCCACUCAUUGGUACAAACUCCAAAACUUCUUCCAAAUUCGACCUCAAAUCAGGUAGGACUACCCGCUGAACUUAAGCAUAUCAAUAAGCGGAGGAAAAG
rnacentral:rRNA from 1 species